rnacentral:rRNA from 1 species
CCUACGGGAGGCAGCAGUGGGGGAUAUUGCACAAUGGGGGGAACCCUGAUGCAGCGACGCCGCGUGGGUGAAGGAGCGUUUCGGCGCGUAAAGCCCUAUCGGCAGGGAAGAAGGAGGACGGUACCUGACUAAGAAGCCCCGGCUAACUACGUGCCAGCAGCCGCGGUAAUACGUAGGGGGCAAGCGUUAUCCGGAUUUACUGGGUGUAAAGGGGGCGCAGACGGCAGCGCAAGCCAGGAGUGAAAGCCCGGGGCCCAACCCCGGGACUGCUCUUGGAACUGCGCGGCUGGAGUGCAGGAGGGGCAGGCGGAAUUCCUGGUGUAGCGGUGAAAUGCGUAGAUAUCGGGAGGAACACCGGUGGCGAAGGCGGCCUGCUGGACUGCGACUGACGUUGAGGCCCGAAAGCGUGGGGAGCGAACAGGAUUAGAUACCCCAGUAGUC